rnacentral:rRNA from 1 species
UACGUAGGGGGCAAGCGUUAUCCGGAUUUACUGGGUGUAAAGGGAGCGUAGACGGCGUGCCAAGUCUGAUGUGAAAGGCCGGGGCUCAACCCCGGGACUGCAUUGGAAACUGGCAUGCUGGAGUGCCGGAGGGGCAAGCGGAAUUCCUAGUGUAGCGGUGAAAUGCGUAGAUAUAUGGAAGAACACCAGUGGCGAAAGCGGCUCUCUGGUCUGUAACUGACGCUGAGGUUCGAAAGCGUGGGUAGCAAACAGG